UCCGGGGGGAGCGAGCGUUAUUCGGAUUCACUGGGCGUAAAGGGUUCGUAGGCGGUCAAGUAAGUCAGGGGUGAAAUCUAACGGCUUAACCGUUAAACUGCCCUUGAAACCGCUUGACUUGAGGACAUGAGAGGAAAGCGGAAUUCUUGGUGUAGCGGUGAAAUGCGUGGAUAUCAAGAGGUACACCGGUGGCGAAGGCGGCUUUCUGGCAUGUUACUGACGCUGAGGAACGAAAGUCAGGGGAGAGAACGGG
rnacentral:rRNA from 1 species